rnacentral:rRNA from 1 species
GACGUAGGGCGCGAGCGUUGUCCGGAUUUAUUGGGCGUAAAGAGCUCGUAGGCGGUUUGUCGCGUCUGCUGUGAAAGCCCGGGGCUCAACCCCGGGUCUGCAGUGGGUACGGGCAGACUAGAGUGCAGUAGGGGAGACUGGAAUUCCUGGUGUAGCGGUGAAAUGCGCAGAUAUCAGGAGGAACACCGAUGGCGAAGGCAGGUCUCUGGGCUGUAACUGACGCUGAGGAGCGAAAGCAUGGGGAGCGAACAGG